rnacentral:tRNA from 1 species
AGUCCCGUAGGCAAGUCCGGUUCAAGCCGUCAGCCCCUCAAGCUGAAGACGCGGGUUCAAAUCCCGUCGGGACUCCCA